rnacentral:lncRNA from 1 species
AACCAAGAUUCCAAAAACACAAUCAAAAACUGAAAAUAAAGUACAGGAAAUAAAAAUGAACACAAGGAUUUUUCGGCCAAAGCCCCAAAGGUUCGGCGACCACUUUUAACGUCUAAUCCCUUGUUGAGCAUCCAUUAAAAAUGGAUAAAGCUCGAUUGCACUAUAAAGCCCCAAAAAUAGGCAACAAAUUACAAUAAUGUUCCAGCAAUUUACAACAAAGAACCAAGUACAGGACUUAUCUUUGCUAGAACAACAAUAGCAAACACUACUAACCAUAGGAAUCAAUCUUGAUCGCAAAGAAGAUCAACCAAUACAGAUUUUUGCCCUCUGAGCUGCCCACUCUCAAAUCACUUAGAUUCAAAUGUUUAUUAUACAGCAAGUCACUUUCGACAAAGGAAACAAUUGAGAUCCCCAAAAAAUCAAACUACUCCUCUAAAAUCACUUCGCAUAAGACACAUAAAAACAGAAUAAAUCGUGCCCCACGGAGGAAUGUAUGUAUCUAUUGUAUUACUUGAGUUUUCUGGUAAUUUUUCAACAAAAAACCUUCAAGAAUCCAAACCCUAAUCACUCAAGAAGAGGGAAUUUUCGUAACAGAGAAGAGAAGUGAAGUGAAAGAAGAGAGAGAGAGAGACUUUUCUUUUCUUCAAAGUGCACGUGAGAGAGAGAGAGAGAGAGAGAGAGAGAGUAAUUUAUGGAAGAAAAAAAAUCUUUGCCUCAUU